GCUGCCAUGGUCUAGUGGUUAUGACGCUCCCUUCACACAGGAGAGGUCUCGAGUUCGACCCUCAAUCGCAGUA